AGUGAACGCUGGCGGUAGGCCUAACACAUGCAAGUCGAACGGCAGCACAGUAAGAGCUUGCUCUUACGGGUGGCGAGUGGCGGACGGGUGAGGAAUACAUCGGAAUCUACUUUUUCGUGGGGGAUAACGUAGGGAAACUUACGCUAAUACCGCAUACGACCUACGGGUGAAAGCAGGGGAUCUUCGGACCUUGCGCGAUUGAAUGAGCCGACGUCGGAUUAGCUAGUUGGCGGGGUAAAGGCCCACCAAGGCGACGAUCCGUAGCUGGUCUGAGAGGAUGAUCAGCCACACUGGAACUGAGACACGGUCCAGACUCCUACGGGAGGCAGCAGUGGGGAAUAUUGGACAAUGGGCGCAAGCCUGAUCCAGCCAUACCGCGUGGGUGAAGAAGGCCUUCGGGUUGUAAAGCCCUUUUGUUGGGAAAGAAAAGCAGCAGGUUAAUACCCCGCUGUUCUGACGGUACCCAAAGAAUAAGCACCGGCUAACUUCGU
rnacentral:rRNA from 1 species